AACGUAGGACACAAGCGUUAUCCGGAAUUACUGGGCGUAAAGGGCGUGCAGGCGGUUGCGUAAGUUAGGCGUGAAAGACUUCGGCUAAACCGGGGGAGGUCGUCUGAUACUGCGUAACUAGAGUGUGGUAGAGGCGUGUAGAAUUCCGGGUGUAGUGGUGAAAUGCGUAGAGAUCCGGAGGAAUGCCAGUGGCGAAGGCGGCACGCUGGGCCAUAACUGACGCUAAACCGCGAAAGCAUGGGUAGCGAACGGG
rnacentral:rRNA from 1 species